AUCCAGUUGACGAGUCCCAAUUAGGGCGAAAUGCGCGUUCUAUAU
rnacentral:hammerhead_ribozyme from 1 species